rnacentral:rRNA from 1 species
AUACGGAGGAUCCGAGCGUUAUCCGGAUUUAUUGGGUUUAAAGGGAGCGUAGGCGGAUGCUUAAGUCAGUUGUGAAAGUUUGCGGCUCAACCGUAAAAUUGCAGUUGAUACUGGGUGUCUUGCGUACAGUAGAGGCAGGCGGAAUUCGUGGUGUAGCGGUGAAAUGCUUAGAUAUCACGAAGAACUCCGAUUGCGAAGGCAGCUUGCUGGACUGUAACUGACGCUGAUGCUCGAAAGUGUGGGUAUCAAACAGGAUUAGAUACCCUGGUAGUCCACACAGUAAACGAUGAAUACUCGCUGUUUGCGAUAUACAGUAAGCGGCCAAGCGAAAGCGUUAAGUACUCCACCUGGGGAGUACGCCGGCAACGGUGAAACUCAAAGGAAUUGACGGGGGCCCGCACAAGCGGAGGAACAUGUGGCUUAAUUCGAUGAUACGCGAGGAACCUUACCCGGGCUUAAAUUGCAAAUGAAUGUUCUGGAAACAGAUCAGCCGCAAGGCAUUUGUGAAGGUGCUGCAUGGUUGUCGUCAGCUCGUGCCGUGAGGUGUCGGCUUAAGUGCCAUAACGAGCGCAACCCUUAUCGAUAGUUACCAUCAGGUUAUGCUGGGGACUCUGUCGAGACUGCCGUCGUAAGAUGUGAGGAAGGUGGGGAUGACGUCAAAUCAGCACGGCCCUUACGUCCGGGGCUACACACGUGUUACAAUGGGGGGUACAGAAGGCAGCUACACGGCGACGUGAUGCUAAUCCCUAAAACCUCUCUCAGUUCGGAUUGGAGUCUGCAACCCGACUCCAUGAAGCUGGAUUCGCUAGUAAUCGCGCAUCAGCCACGGCGCGGUGAAUACGUUCCCGGGCCUUGUACACACCGCCCGUCAAGCCAUGAAAGCCGGGGGUACCUGAAGUGCGUAACCGCGAGGAGCGCCCUAGGGUAAAACUGGUGAUUGGGGCU